AUUUUAGGAAAACGUCUUACCCUUUUUCAUUUUGGUAAGACAUUUUCCAAUGUUUUUCUCUUCACCAACAAGCGAAGCCUCUUCUGCUUCCCUCUUCCUUGCCACCCCGAUAUAAUGUUUCCCGCUAGCCAGAAACAAUUCUCAGCACCAAUCGCCAAUGUGGAUCUUUGAUUUACCCAUUUUUGCCUUUCAUUUUUGAAAUCUGAACUGCACUAGUUAGGCAAGGGCAUUCAUCUUCUUCCCUCAAAGGUUCAACCACAAAUGCUGGGAUCGUGAGCCUUGUCCCACCAUUGAAGCUUGAAGCAUCCAAUGGAAAGGCAUCAUUGUAUGAUAUCGAGGAAAUAAUAGAUUCAAGAACCAGCAACACCCUACAAUGCAAGGCCUUGGACCAUGCAAAUUCAUUAUGUCUUGUAUUAAUAAUUAGUAGAACAAGGAGCUUUUAACUGGUUGAUAAAUGCAUUGAUGAGUCCACAACAUCCAUAUUCAAAAAUUGGAAUCUCUGCUUUCAAAA